AGUGAACGCUGGCGGUAGGCCUAACACAUGCAAGUCGAUCGGCAGCACAGUAAGAGCUUGCUCUUACGGGUGGCGAGUGGCGGACGGGUGAGGAAUACAUCGGAAUCUACUUUUUCGUGGGGGAUAACGUAGGGAAACUUACGCUAAUACCGCAUACGACCUACGGGUGAAAGCAGGGGAUCUUCGGACCUUGCGCGAUUGAAUGAGCCGAUGUCGGAUUAGCUAGUUGGCGGGGUAAAGGCCCACCAAGGCGACGAUCCGUAGCUGGUCUGAGAGGAUGAUCAGCGACACUGGAACUGAGACACGGUCCAGACUCCUACGGGAGGCAGCAGUGGGGAAUAUUGGACAAUGGGCGAAAGCCUGAUCCAGCCAUACCGCGUGGGUGAAGAAGGCGUUCGGGUUGUAAAGCCCUUUUGUUGGGAAAGAAAAGCAGCAGGUUAAUACCCCGCUGUUCUGACGGUACCCAAAGAAUAAGCACCGGCUAACUUCGUG
rnacentral:rRNA from 1 species